CUGAUGGCGACCGGCGUACGGGUGAGUAACGCGUAUUCAACCUGCCCUUUACUAUGGGACAGCCCGUCGAAAGGCGGAUUAAUACCGUAUGUUGUCAUGUUGAUGCAUAUUUUCAUGACCAAAGGCUUCGGCCGGUAAAGGAUGGGGAUGCGUCUGAUUAGCUUGCCGGCGGGGUAACGGCCCACCGGGGCGACGAUCAGUAGGGGUUCUGAGAGGAAGGUCCCCCACAUUGGAACUGAGACACGGUCCAAACUCCUACGGAAGGCAGCAG
rnacentral:rRNA from 1 species